UACAGAGGUCUCAAGCGUUGUUCGGAUUCAUUGGGCGUAAAGGGUGCGUAGGCGGCGCGGUAAGUCGGGUGUGAAAUCUUGGAGCUUAACUCCGAAACUGCAUUCGAUACUGCCGUGCUUGAGGACUGGAGAGGAGACUGGAAUUUACGGUGUAGCGGUGAAAUGCGUAGAUAUCGUAAGGAAGACCAGUGGCGAAAGGCGGG
rnacentral:rRNA from 1 species